rnacentral:rRNA from 1 species
CAGUAGCCACGGAAAUACGUAGGUGGCAAGCGUUGUCCGGAAUCAUUGGGCGUAAAGCGCGCGCAGGCGGAUAGGUCAGUCUGUCUUAAAAGUUCGGGGCUUAACCCCGUGAUGGGAUGGAAACUGCCAAUCUAGAGUAUCGGAGAGGAAAGUGGAAUUCCUAGUGUAGCGGUGAAAUGCGUAGAUAUUAGGAAGAACACCAGUGGCGAAGGCGACUUUCUGGACGAAAACUGACGCUGAGGCGCGAAAGCCAGGGGAGCGAACGGGAUUAGAUACCCCUGUAGUCCCUGUCUCUUAUACC